rnacentral:rRNA from 1 species
AGUCGAUGAUGGGAGCUAGCUUGCUAGAAGUCAUGGCGGACGGGUGAGUAACGUGUAAAGAACUUACCAUAUAGACUGGGAUAACAGAGGGAAACUUCUGAUAAUACUGGAUAAGUUAGAAGUAGCAUUACUAAGUAAUGAAAGGUAGCAAUACGCUAUAUGAGAGCUUUGCAUCCUAUUAGCUAGUUGGUGGGGUAAAAGCCUACCAAGGCGAUGAUAGGUAGCCGGCCUGAGAGGGUGGACGGCCACAAGGGGACUGAGAUACGGCCCUUACUCCUACGGGAGGCAGCAGUGGGGAGUAUUGGACAAUGGAGGCAACUCUGAUCCAGCAAUUCUGUGUGUGUGAAGAAGGUUUUAGGACUGUAAAACACUUUUAGUAGGGAAGAAUGAAAUGACGGUACCUACAGAAGAAGCGACGGCUAAAUACGUGCCAGCAGCCGCGGUAAUACGUAGGGGGCAAGCGUUAUCCGGAUUCAUUGGGCGUAAAGCGCGCGUAGGCGGUCUGUUAGGUCAGGAGUUAAAUCUGGGGGCUCAACCCCUAUCCGCUCCU